AUAUCCAGACUGCGAGCUGCAUGUUUGAGGCGACGGUUCACCGCUCUGCAAAAAGUUUGCGAUGUGAAGGAACCACAUGGUGGAGCUUAAGGCACAUUUUUAAAGAAAACGCUGCUCUGACUACAGGAAGAAACACGUUCUAAUUCACUUUUAAAAACAAAAGAAGUGUAUUAACCAAUAGAUUAACACCGUAAAUCAACCUCUUUACCAUUGGCUCAAUUCAGAAUUGUCUGAAUACAAAACUGCAUAACAUAAUGUGACUCGACACAACGACAACACAAACAAAGCCUGUCAACAACACUGGGGACGAGAGUCACUCAAUGCAACAUAAUUACAACAGCUCAGAUCAUUUCAUCAUUUCCUGGCGCUGUUUGACGGUGUAAAAAGUCUAUUUAGUCUAAUUUGACAAACAGCUUUUGAGCUAACAGUAAAUAAAACUAAAGACCUGUUUCUUAAAGUCUGACAUGACAUUCGAAGGAGUCACCAACACGUUGAAUUCUCAUUUCAAUCGCCUUCCUGCUUUUAUUUAGUUGUUAAUAUUAAGUUUUCCUUACAUGUUCAGGGUUAAAACAUACAUUAUAUAUUGUAAUGUUGCAGAAUACAACUUUUAAAAAUGUAGAAGGCACAAUCAGAUUGUGUCUGCGUUAUAAAGGAACAUAUACACUUUUAUACAGCAAGAAGAAGAAGACCCAUCAUCUCCUGUUAAAGGCACCGUUGUAAAGAACAGAGUGAGAAGGAUUUCUCACUCAACCACCGGACUAAAACGUCCUUUGUGACACGUUGUCGUGGCACAAACAGACGCCGAACAACACGCAGCACAAAUCACAUGAGAGAGGAACAGAGCAGGACGAGGAGGAGGAAUGGAAACAGAGAAGUUGUCGUCACGGCUUGCACAAAACACAGAGAACACAACCGGAGCGCUGCGUCGUU